rnacentral:rRNA from 1 species
UACGUAGGGGGCAAGCGUUGUCCGGAAUUAUUGGGCGUAAAGCGCGUGUAGGCGGUCCGCUAAGUCGGCUGUGAAAGUCCAGGGCUCAACCCUGGGAUGCCGGUCGAUACGGGCAGGCUAGAGUUCGGUAGGGGAGAUCGGAAUUCCUGGUGUAGCGGUGAAAUGCGCAGAUAUCAGGAGGAACACCGGUGGCGAAGGCGGAUCUCUGGGCCGAUACUGACGCUGAGGAGCGAAAGCGUGGGGAGCGAACAGG